rnacentral:rRNA from 1 species
UGAGUAACACGUGGGCAAUCUGCCCUGCACUUCGGGAUAAGCCUGGGAAACUGGGUCUAAUACCGGAUAGGACCUUUAGGCGCAUGUCUUUAGGUGGAAAGCUUUUGCGGUGUGGGAUGGGCCCGCGGCCUAUCAGCUUGUUGGUGGGGUGAUGGCCUACCAAGGCGACGACGGGUAGCCGGCCUGAGAGGGUGUCCGGCCACACUGGGACUGAGAUACGGCCCAGACUCCUACGGGAGGCAGCAGUGGGGAAUAUUGCACAAUGGGCGCAAGCCUGAUGCAGCGACGCCGCGUGGGGGAUGACGGCCUUCGGGUUGUAAACCUCUUUCACCAUCGACGAAGGUUCGGGUUUUCUCGGAUUGACGGUAGGUGGAGAAGAAGCACCGGCCAACUACGUGCCAGCAGCCGCGGUAAUACGUAGGGUGCGAGCGUUGUCCGGAAUUACUGGGCGUAAAGAGCUCGUAGGUGGUUUGUCGCGUUGUUCGUGAAAUCUCACGGCUUAACUGUGAGCGUGCGGGCGAUACGGGCAGACUAGAGUACUGCAGGGGAGACUGGAAUUCCUGGUGUAGCGGUGGAAUGCGCAGAUAUCAGGAGGAACACCGGUGGCGAAGGCGGGUCUCUGGGCAGUAACUGACGCUGAGGAGCGAAAGCGUGGGGAGCGAACAGGAUUAGAUACCCUGGUAGUCCACGCCGUAAACGGUGGGUACUAGGUGUGGGUUUCCUUCCUUGGGAUCCGUGCCGUAGCUAACGCAUUAAGUACCCCGCCUGGGGGAGUACGGCCGCAAGGCUAAAACUCAAAAGGAAUUGACGGGGGGCCCGCACAA